rnacentral:rRNA from 1 species
CCUACGGGGUGCAGCAGUAGGGAAUUUUCGUCAAUGGGCGCAAGCCUGAACGAGCAAUGCCGCGUGAACGAGGAAGGUCUUCGGAUCGUAAAGUUCUGUUGAAGGGGAAAAAGAGCGGAGAGAGGAAAUGCUUUCUGAUUGAUAUUACCCUUCGAGGAAGUCACGGCUAACUACGUGCCAGCAGCCGCGGUAAUACGUAGGUGGCGAGCGUUAUCCGGAAUGAUUGGGCGUAAAGGGUGCGUAGGCGGCCUGCUAAGUCUGGAGUGAAAGGUACCGGCUCAACCGGUACAGGCUCUGGAAACUGGCGGGCUAGAGAGCAGGAGAGGGCGGUGGAACUCCUGGUGUAGGAGUGAAAUCCGUAGAUAUCAGGAGGAACAUCAGUGGCGAAGGCGGCCGCCUGGCACAAAACUGACGCUGAGGUGCGAAAGCGUGGGUAGCAAACAGGAUUAGAUACCCUGGUAGUC